rnacentral:rRNA from 1 species
ACUUUACAAUGCGGGAAACCGUGAUAAGGGGACACCGAGUGCCAGCAUCAUAUGCUGGCUGUCCGGAUGUGUAAAACACAUCCGUUAGCAAGGGCCGGGCAAGACCGGUGCCAGCCGCCGCGGUAACACCGGCGGCCCGAGUGGUGAUCGUGAUUAUUGGGUCUAAAGGGUCCGUAGCCGGUUUGGUCAGUCCUCCGGGAAAUCUGAUAGCUCAACUAUUAGGCUUUCGGGGGAUACUGCCAGACUUGGAACCGGGAGAGGUAAGAGGUACUACAGGGGUAGGAGUGAAAUCUUGUAAUCCCUGUGGGACCACCUGUGGCGAAGGCGUCUUACCAGAACGGGUUCGACGGUGAG